rnacentral:rRNA from 1 species
ACGAGUGGCGGACGGGUGAGUAAUGUCUGGGAAACUGCCUGAUGGAGGGGGAUAACUACUGGAAACGGUAGCUAAUACCGCAUAACGUCGCAAGACCAAAGAGGGGGACCUUAGGGCCUCUUGCCAUCGGAUGUGCCCAGAUGGGAUUAGCUAGUAGGUGGGGUAAAGGCUCACCUAGGCGACGAUCCCUAGCUGGUCUGAGAGGACGACCAGCCACACUGGAACUGAGACACGGUCCAG